UACGUAGGGUGCGAGCGUUGUCCGGAAUUACUGGGCGUAAAGAGCUCGUAGGUGGUUUGUCGCGUUGUUCGUGAAAACCGGGGGCUUAACCCUCGGCGUGCGGGCGAUACGGGCAGACUUGAGUACUGCAGGGGAGACUGGAAUUCCUGGUGUAGCGGUGAAAUGCGCAGAUAUCAGGAGGAACACCGGUGGCGAAGGCGGGUCUCUGGGUAGUAACUGACGCUGAGGAACGAAAGCGUGGGUAGCGAACAGG
rnacentral:rRNA from 1 species